AGUCGUGGGGCAGCGGGUGUAGCAAUACAUGCCGGCGACCGGCGCACGGGUGAGUAACGCGUAUGCAAUUUACCUCUAACUGGGGGAUAGCUCAGAGAAAUCUGGAUUAAUACCCCAUAACACUAUUUGAAGGCAUCUUCGAAUAUUUAAAGCUCCGGCGGUUAGAGAUGAGCAUGCGUGCCAUUAGCUUGUUGGUAGGGUAACGGCCUACCAAGGCUACGAUGGCUAGGGGGUCUGAGAGGAUGAUCCCCCACACUGGUACUGAGACACGGACCAGACUCCUACGGGAGGCAGCAGUGAGGAAUAUUGGUCAAUGGGCGCAAGCCUGAACCAGCCAUGCCGCGUGAAGGAUGAAGGCGCUACGCGUUGUAAACUUCUUUUGUACGGGGCGAAACGUUUUUACGUGUAGAGACCUGACAGUACCGUAUGAAUAAGCAUCGGCUAACUCCGUGCCAGCAGCCGCGGUAAUACGGAGGAUGCAAGCGUUAUCCGGAUUUAUUGGGUUUAAAGGGUGCGUAGGCGGGAUGAUAAGUCAGUGGUGAAAUAUUGCAGCUUAACUGUAAAACUGCCAUUGAUACUGUCGUUCUUGAGUUCAGUUGAGGUGGGCGGAAUGUGUAAUGUAGCGGUGAAAUGCUUAGAUAUUACACAGAACACCGAUUGCGUAGGCAGCUCACUAAACUGAUACUGACGCUGAGGCAUGAAAGCGUGGGGAUCAAACAGGAUUAGAUACCCUGGUAGUCCACGCUGUAAACUAUGAUCACUCGUUGUUGGCGACACACAGUCAGCGGCUGAGCGAAAGCAUUAAGUGAUCCACCUGGGGAGUACGGUCG
rnacentral:rRNA from 1 species